rnacentral:rRNA from 1 species
ACGGAGGCCUCAAGCGUUGUUCGGAAUUACUGGGCGUAAAGGGUGCGUAGGCGGCGAGGUAAGUCAGAUGUGAAAGCCCGGGGCUCAACCCCGGAAUUGCAUCCGAUACUGCCUUGCUUGAGGAUUGGAGAGGAGACUGGAAUUCACGGUGUAGCAGUGAAAUGCGUGGAUAUCGUGAGGAAGGCCAAUGGCGAAGGCAGGUCUCUGGACAAUUCCUGACGCUGAUGCACGAAGGCCAGGGGAGCAAAAAG